CCAACCUUCAUUGAGGACAAACAAUUCAGAUGCCGACUUCUUUAUUUAAUUUGACAUGGACACCUAAAAAGUCUGAAGAUUAAAAGAUGCAGAAAGUUAUUAUCUUGAUUAGGGUUGUAAAUUUGUAAUAUUAAACCAUGUAUUGCAACCAACAUGAUUAAAGAUCCAUCCUUUUCUAGUUCAACAUUGCACUCGAGGACCUAAACUCGGUAUUGUCACGGUCAAUCUUAUGGCCUG
rnacentral:lncRNA from 1 species